AACGAACGCUGGCGGCAGGCUUAACACAUGCAAGUCGAGCGCCCCGCAAGGGGAGCGGCAGACGGGUGAGUAACGCGUGGGAAGCUACCCAUCUCUACGGAAUAACGGAUGGAAACGUGUGCUAAUACCGUAUACGUCCUUCGGGAGAAAGAUUUAUCGGAGGAGGAUGAGCCCGCGUUGGAUUAGGUAGUUGGUGGGGUAAAGGCCUACCAAGGCGACGAUCCAUAGCUGGUCUGAGAGGAUGAUCAGCCACACUGGGACUGAGACACGGCCCAGACUCCUACGGGAGGCAGCAGUGGGGAAUAUUGGACAAUGGGCGCAAGCCUGAUCCAGCCAUGCCGCGUGAGUGAUGAAGGCCCUAGGGUUGUAAAGCUCUUUCACCGGUGAAGAUAAUGACGGUAACCGGAGAAGAAGCCCCGGCUAACUUCGUGCCAGCAGCCGCGGUAACAC
rnacentral:rRNA from 1 species